AGAGAGGGCACCAUCCCAAAACAGCCACCACUCAUCUCUUGAUCAGUCUGCAUCUCCGCCGUCUGCUUUGCCUGGGUAGGCUCCUGUGCUGCUGCUUGGUCCAUCGCCACCCAUGGAGACAACACCUCGUCCCGCUUCUUCUCUGUGCUCCAUCUAUGCUCGCGAUCCCAUGGAAAAACCGCCACCGUGAGUGGUGGUGGCUUGGCCACGAUUGAGGGAACACAACGGAACAGAACGCCUCUUCUAACCUUCACGAGCUUUCCCUUCGCGGAGGCGCCGCAUGCCCUAAACCCUAAAUUACCACCGCGUCGUUCGUCUUCCGCGGUCUUGGUUCUGGUGCGGGCUUUCUUGCAGCUGCUCCGCCUCUGACCACAGCGUCCGUAAACCUGCAAGGUGGCUUUGGUGUCGGUUCCCGAUCCAAUAGAUCUGUGUCAUCCACCUUCCCCUUCGAGACGGCGCCGUCCUCGGCGCCACUGCUGGCCAUGCUUAGCCUGCCACGCUGCUCCGAGCGGUUCUGUCGACGUGGACGUCAUCGUCCUCCGCAACGGGUGCUGUUUCCCACCACGUACGAUCGCUGGCGUUCAGAGGUCGCGGUCCAGCAUUCAGGGAGGUCGUUUCUUGAAUCUGAAGCUCCCUUUGCAGAUCUGGAACUGCUGUUGUUGAUGCUGAAAACUGUUGAUGAGGGAAGUGGAAGAUUUCGCCCGCAUAUUAAAUUCUGACUGGCCAGAGAGGAUGCAGGAACUGUUGUCAUUGGGGCAAGAAAGAAAAGCAAUGCCUUUUACAUCCAAUGAAAACAGUUUUUUAAGACGAAAUGCUUAGGACUUGACCUCAUGAUACUGUCACACAAACAAGAAGGAAUCAGCGGAAAAUGGUUCCUUACAAGCCCCCACACAAAUGGCCUGUGGCUUGAACAAUUUUGAGAGGUGCUGACAAGCCUUAGGAAAGUGCUGCAUGUCAGUUAUUUAUUUGUUUUUCUAAUUCACUGUUCAAUUUUAUUCAUUAUUGGUCCUUGGCCCCUGGCACAAUUUGAUGCUGGAGGCUGCCUCUUGUGCCAAUAGAAAAUAAAUAGUAGGAUGGGCUUGUAUGUAAUAAUGUUGUAUCUUUGUGCAUUGAUUGCUUGAGUUUUGAAAGAAGUUUCUUACUCU